rnacentral:lncRNA from 1 species
AUGUAAUACAAGUACUAAAUUAGCCUAUCUUCAGUCAGCCUGAAAAGAGUGUGUUGGCUGGAUCUGACUCGAUCACAUCCAGGACCUUUAGGAGUGGUGGGACCUCCAUGGGUUCAGACUGUGCCAGGAGCAAGUCCAUUUCUAUAUUAGGAGGCUUCCUGCUCUCCUGAAUUCCAGCAGGGAAUAAGAGUAAGGGCUGGUUGUUGGCCUGCCCAGGAUGAGGCCCUGUGGCUGCAGCAAAACAAAUGGAAGAACUCAGGAAAAAAACUGGAGGCCUUAGAGUUGACCAUGAGAUUCAGGGUUUCUUACAAGAAUGGGAGUCUCUUAAAAGUGAAGAAAAGUUGAUGAAGAAUCACAUUGCAUCAAAAGUGCCAGCCCAAUGUCCCUAGCAUGGAUGCACAGAUAAGAGCUGGUGACAAGGUCUGCAGAUGUUCCUACAUAUGCAGGGUUUAGACUGGAUUAUUUGUGAGACCAACCAGAGUCCACGGAAGCAAUCUUUGUCCUGCCCUUCACAGUACUGUGGGACACAGAAGGGAGAACACUGUCUUCUCAGCACGUAUGGCAGCAGUGAUUGGAUCUGAAUCAGCAUCAGAGGAGCCCCAAAUUAAAGACAGUUAGAAACUAGAUUCCAAUUUUACUUUGAAAGACAAUGGAAUAGUGCAACACUAUACAUUCAUGACUCCUUCCUUUCCCAGACC